rfam:Rhizophagus irregularis DAOM 181602 strain DAOM 197198 GLOINscaffold_588_Cont592 mitochondrial, whole genome shotgun sequence.
AGGGUUCUAGCUCAAUUGGUUAGAGUGUAGUGUUGAUAACGCUAAGGUUAUGGGUUCGAAUCCCAUGGAUCCUA